CAAAAGCGCCUAGUCUCUCGAGAGAUGAUUGGCUUGCCUUCUCAGCCAAUACCAAGGCAGUCUGCCAGUAUUUCCUGGCCCGCCUCCCUUCUUCCUCUGUCUUGCGGUUCUUUGGCGCUGGGUGAGUGUUUGUCGUUUGUGCUAUCGAAUCCAUUCUUAAUCUUAGCCUGCGGAAAAAUGGAUGGCUCCUACCUGAAGCAUCUGCAUCAUCAAAGCAGUGCUUCUGGAAUGCACUCAUCUGGAGUUAAUCUGGUCCAUACAUUUGGAGCAUGGGUUUGGAGAAGCAUCAAAUACUUCUUCUGAAAAAUUCUUUGAAGGGAACCAUUGCAGUCAAGAGAUGGGCUGAACAAAUUCAGGAAAUUCCUAGGAUUUCUGGAAGUCAUGGCAUUUGGCCCAUUUGGUGAUAAUGAGAAAAAGAGAGCAUGCGAUUGGAGGAAAAUGAACACCAAAUACUUCUGAAGAGUUGCGCUGAGUGAACAGCUGUAAUACAAAAUGGACUGAACGAACACUGAAAAUACUAGGAUUUCUGGAAGUCUGAAUUUGAUAUUGAGAAAAAGGACUGAUGAUUCUAAAGAGAUGAGACAGCAAUUGUGCACAUUCCCUAUCCUGAGCCUCUACAAAAUGUAAGGACUGAAGCUUUUUCUCUUGCCGCUUAGAAGACAUUUGCAUCCAAACCACUGAUUACUGUAUGGUAAGAAGUUGCUGUUUAUAUAGUAGAAUUUAUCUUUCAUAGUAUGAAAUCUAAUGGGCAGGUUUCAAACAAACUAGGCAGUGUCAGUGCCUCUAAAGCACAUUUGGCCUUCCAGAUGUUUUCAGACUCUAGCCUGCAUGACCAGCUGCUAGGGAUUAUGGGAGUUAUAGUCCAACAUCCUCAGGAGGGCAACAGGUUUUUUAAAAGGAGUGGAUCAUCAAAAUAAUAGUGGAGGGUUGAAGUAUAAAUAGCGGUGGGUGGAGUAGGGAUUGGUAUGUGUGCUCAAAAGUGAAAAUGCAUGAUGACUGUUCCUCUUGCUGUCAAAAGCUGUAGACAGUGAGAUUUUGUGUCAUCAAACAUUAAAGCUGGCCUUUCUUCACUCAAUGUGCCUUUGGAUGGGUUGGCUGUCUGUUGGCACUAUUGAAUUUUGCGGGGCCAAACAUUCUGAAAAAUGCAAACGUGAAGCUUUAA